ACGUAGGGUGCGAGCGUUAAUCGGAAUUACUGGGCGUAAAGCGUGCGCAGGCGGUUCGUUGUGUCGGUGGUGAAAGCCCCGGGCUCAACCUGGGAAUGGCCAUGGAAACUGGCGAACUGGAGUGUGGCAGAGGGGGGUGGAAUUCCGCGUGUAGCAGUGAAAUGCGUAGAGAUGCGGAGGAACACCGAUGGCGAAGGCAGCCCCCUGGGCUAGCACUGACGCUCAGGCACGAAAGCGUGGGGAGCAAACAGGAUUAGAUACCCUGGUAGUCCACGCCCUAAACGAUGUCAACUAGGUGUUCGGGAAGCGAUUUCUGGGUACCGUAGCUAACGCGUGAAGUUGACCGCCUGGGGAGUACGGCCGCAAGGUUA
rnacentral:rRNA from 1 species